CGGCGGCUAGGGCUCGGUUUCGCAAUUUAGACGCAAAAGAACGACGCGGGGCAUCGUGGGGUACUUUAUAGGGUCUCGAUUCGCGAUAAGAGCAAGGAAAACCUGAGAUUUUAGAACGGAUUCAGUGGGCGGUUUCCUAUUCGGUUACGAACAGGAAGCAGGAAGGUGGAGGAGAGGGAGCUGACGCGCGGGCCCAAGCUGUCAGCGAAAUAGGGGGUGGGGAUUGGGCUGGUUGGUCUCUCGGCCAGCAGGCCACCGGGCCGAGCUGAUUUUCUCUUUAUUUUUUCUCUUUUUUUUUCUAAAUUUUCCAAAGCCUUUUUAAAUCGAAUUGAGAGCAAAUAAAUUCCAACAAAAACCAGCAGCACAAGUAAAUAAAGAUGCUCCAGCAUGAAUGCACAAUCAGAGUUGCUAAACCUAUGAUGAAUUUUAAUUCCCACAAAAUUAUUCAUUUUGCUAGAUUCAAUGCUCACAAAAAUUCUUAAACAAAUCAAAUUAAUUUCCUAUUAAUUGAAAUUCACAUUUUGGGUGUUACAAAUAAUAAUAAAGUUUCUCUUUUUUCCGUAUAUUUCUACAUAUGCAGAAUACUCGACAAGUACGACAACAUCUUUCUUUGACAAGUCACACAACGAAAUCACUCAAGGGUACUCGACAUGAUGCAGUGAUACAUCACUCAGAAAACUUAUUUACAGCACUCAAAACCAUGGUUCUU
rnacentral:lncRNA from 1 species